GGCGUCCUCCUCCUUGCCACCCCUUCUCCUCCUUGCCGUGGCCUUCUCUUUGGACAUCCCCUUGCUGGUGUGAAUGUUGGAAUUUCAGUGUCAGGGCAUGCAUGUAUGUUUUAUCCUUGCCGCACAAGUGUUUGACCUGUACGGAUAUCCACUCAGGAUCAGCCUGGAACAGUCCUUUUUGAUAUUGAUUUUUCUUCUUUAAGAAAAAUUAGUCUGU
rnacentral:lncRNA from 1 species